UACGAGGGGGGCGAGCGUUGUUCGGAAUUAUUGGGCGUAAAGGGUGCGUAGGCGGUUCCGCAAGUCCUGUGUGAAAUCUUCGGGCUCAACUCGAAGUCUGCACGGGAAACUGCGGGGCUUGAGUGUGGGAGAGGUGAGUGGAAUUCCCGGUGUAGCGGUGAAACGCGUAGAUAUCGGGAGGAACACCUGUGGCGAAAGCGGCUCACUGGACCACAACUGACGCUGAGGCGCGAAAGCUAGGGGAGCAAACAGG
rnacentral:rRNA from 1 species